rnacentral:rRNA from 1 species
UACGUAGGGUGCGAGCGUUAAUCGGAAUUACUGGGCGUAAAGCGUGCGCAGGCGGUUUUGUAAGCCAGAUGUGAAAUCCCCGGGCUUAACCUGGGAAUGGCAUUUGGGACUGCAAGGCUGGAGUGCGGCAGAGGAGACUGGAAUUCCUGGUGUAGCAGUGAAAUGCGUAGAUAUCAGAGGAACACCGAUGGCGAAGGCAGGU